rnacentral:misc_RNA from 1 species
UCCGGUUUGUCACCGGCGGUCUCCUUAGAGUGCCCAACUUAAUGCUGGCAACAGACGAUAGAGGUUGCGCUCGUUGCGAGACUUAACCCAACAUUUCACAACACGAGCUGACGACAGCCAUGCAGCACCUCUCACUACAUUUCCUUGCGGACACUCCAGUCAUUACACCGGAUUCGUAGGAGUUCAAGCCUAGGUAAGGUUCUGCGCGUUGCUUCGAAUUAAACCACAUAAUCCACCGCUUGUGCGGGCCCCCGUCAAUUUGUUUGAGUUUUAGUCUUGCGACCGUACUCCCCAGGCGGAAUACUUAAUGCGUUAGCUGCGUCGCUGAGGGAGUCAAUACCCCCAAUAACUAGUAUUCAUCGUUUACGGCGUGGACUAC